AUACGGAGGGUCCGAGCGUUAUCCGGCAUCAUUGGGUUUAAAGGGUCCGGAGGCGGGAAUCUAAGUCAGUGGUGAAAUCUUGCAGCUCAACUGUAAAAUUGCCAUUGAUACUGGAUUUCUCGAAUUAGUGUGAAGUGGUUAGAAUGUGUAGUGUAGCGGUGAAAUGCAUAGAUAUUACACAGAAUACCAAUUGCGAAGGCAGAUCACUAACACUAUAUUGACGCUGAGGGACGAAAGCGUGGGGAGCAAACAGGAUUAGAAACCCUAGUAGUCC
rnacentral:rRNA from 1 species